CGCAUCUGUGCAUGCAGCAUAUCAAUAAGCGGAGGAAAAGAAACUAACAAGGAUUCCCUUAGUAACGGCGAGUGAAGCGGGAAGAGCUCAAAUUUGAAAUCUUCAAGGUUUUACCUUGACGAAUUGUAGUUUAAAGAAGUGUUUUCUGCUGAAGUUUUGGUAAAAGUUCUUUGGAAUAGGACAUCAUAGAGGGUGAGAAUCCCGUAUUUGACCAUUAUUUUCAGCUUUGUGAUACACUUUCAAAGAGUCGGAUUGUUUGGGAAUGUAGUCCAAAAUGGGUGGUAAAUUUCAUCUAAAGCUAAAUAUUGUCGAGAGACCGAUAGCGAACAAGUACCGUGAGGGAAAGAUGAAAAGAACUUUGAAAAGAGAGUUAAACAGUACGUGAAAUUGUCAAAAGGGAAGCGUUUGACACCAGUGUUGUUUUCUCGAAAAUCAAUUAAAAAUGGCUCGAUUUUGUAUUGCUGAGACCUUAAAAGCUCACUGUACAUUUUUCGUGUCUUUUUUAAUGCACUUUUCGUUUAACAAGUCAACAUCAGUUUCUUUUGUUGUAAAAGGGUCAUUGGAAGGUGGCUUUCUUUUCGGAGAAAGUGUUUAUAGCCUUUGGCCUCUGCAAUCGAAGAGACUGAGGUCUGCAGCGUAGACUCUUCGGGGUUAGAUACAUUUGUGCUAAGUUAUAGCUUUUUAUAGACAACUUGUUGACUAUAAUUAGUCUUGUAGCUUACUCGCUUAUGCUAUUUUACCUACGCUUAGGAUGUUGACGCAUGAGAUAUACGC
rnacentral:rRNA from 1 species